CUGAGGCAGGAGGAUCAUAUUUCACGUCUGCCCAGACUUCAGGACAUUUGUCCUCUCUACACAUCCAGCGAGAGAGACGCAGGUCCCACCCAUCCACCUCCAAAUCCCGCCACAUCCAAAUAAAUAAACUCUGAGGCAAGGAAGCAGAGCCACUGAGUUCCGGAGCAAGCGUCAGAUGGAACCCUCAGGGAGGAACACGUUAGACACAGUGCAUAUGUAUGAGUCUCCAGCGCGUGUGAAUACCGGGCCAGGCUCCCAACACUCUUUGGAGAAGAAAGGAAGUCACAGGAGAACAGGAGAUGUGGGCAUGUUUCGAUCAGGGUGCAGCUUACACUGCUAGUGUACCUGUGUUGGCUUCUCAGAUCAAGGGACUAAUUAACUAACCUGAAGUUGGAGACAGUGGUAUCCAGAAGGGGCAUAAAGGAAGUCUCAAGUCUCUCUGUCUUAUAUUUCUGUUUGUCUCCCCCUCCUUCCCCCUCCC
rnacentral:lncRNA from 1 species